UACGUAGGGUGCAAGCGUUAAUCGGAAUUACUGGGCGUAAAGCGUGCGCAGGCGGUUUUGUAAGUUUUGUCGUGAAAUCCCCGGGCUCAACCUGGGAAUUGCGAUGAAGACUGCAAGGCUAGAAUCUGGCAGAGGGGGGUAGAAUUCCGACGUGUGAGCAGUGAAAUGCGUAGAGAUGUGGAGGAACACCGAUGGCGAAGGCAGCCCCCUGGGUCAAGAUUGACGCUCAUGCACGAAAGCGUGGGGAGCAAACA
rnacentral:rRNA from 1 species